AAGCCUGGAACGCGCUCAAACAGCCGCACGCUGCGCUACUCUGGAAUAACUAGAUCCAGCAAGCUACAAAAACCCAAGUGCAGUGCACCUAUGCGAAGUAGACGUUGCUUGAGGUACGCUUUGCAUACCGAUGCAAGGGGCGAGUGCCAGCGUUGUCGGGCGCCCCGACACCGUCGCCGCUGUCGACGCUGCGGGCUCGUACGGCACAGCAGCGCUCGUUGGCCUGCAGUGGCGCUUGGGGAAAGCGUAACGCGGAAAUGCUCAAUCGAUUCGAGCACUGAGACUUUGUUCUGAAUUGAUUUUAGAUGUAUUGACGAAAUGUGAACGUGGAGCAGCAGAAGGCUUAUGGGAGCGCACGUGAGAUGUUAGGAAUCCCGGACGUCUUUUCGCGAAGGCACCUUCGAAGCGCUGCUCCUCGAACUCGUUAUUUCACCGGAAUCAAGGUGAUUCGCGAUGCCCUCGACCUCUAUUUCGGAAUAUAAGCGAUAGUAUUGUUUUGUUCACAGAACAAGGUUCCAGUCUGCUGCUUGCUUUAGGAGUAGCGUGCGCGAUUCACGCAUGCUUCAACGUUUCAAUCUAUCACGGCAAGUCGUGUGCGCAACAAGUCGCACUACUGGACAGGCGGGUGCGUCAAAGAACACGUCGUCGUCGUUUGAUGGCCUGUUCAUAAGCUCAAUCCGAAAGUUGAUUGGGAUUUUCCCAGCACAUUAUCGAUUCCGUUCAAAAGACAAAUCGCCUUCUAGUCAACGCAUCUCGCAAAGCAGAAUUCCACAGCAACUUCAUCAGACUGAUCAUUGAUUCGCAGUUGAGUCAUCACAGUGAUCGCUUCCGUUUCAGCGUGCGACUGCGCCUUGCACGAGGCGAGCGUAGACAGAUCGCAAUUCCGCGCCUUGUUCCCCGGCGUCGAUUCGCCUUGUGGCACGUGUUUCUCCACAGACAACACCCCGUUCCACGAAUUACGUAUCGAGUGGAGAAGCGUGCGCCUGUGCAUCUAGCGGACAGCGUCCCCGCCCGAGGGAUUGCCCAGACGAGGCCUGGAAUCGUAGGGUACGGCGCCGGGCGCGGAAACGAAGGUAUGGGCGUCGGAGGUGCACCCUGCGUAGGCGUCAGCGGCAUGCGCCGAGCGAAGAAACAAGCGUUCAUGCUCCAGAAGACAUGGAACGGGAAGAGGAAUUUGUGAUGGGUGAACGGGAGCAGUUGAUCGUCGUUAGGAAUCAUCGCUGCGCCCUGUGCACCGAUGCUCUACGCAUCGAAGAUGAAAAUGACAAGCGAGGCGUAGCUUGCAACGUUCGCCUGUAUGUGGAUUAUGUCGACAAUAGCCGAACACAUUGAAAUCGGGACGCAAACACUGCCAACAACGUCCGGCGACUUUUGUCAAAGGACUGCGAGAGUGAGCAGAGACCGGUCUAAUGAGGAUCAGGGUGUCGAAAAGGAUGCAGUCACAGAAAAAGCGUGCAGCAGCUGCUGUUAUCGAUAGUGGAAGAGACCCAAUUUUCAACGAGUACACCAGUGUUCGGGAACCUGCCCCAGUGCAUUCCGACAAGGGUGCAGAGCGCAUCACCGCGCACCGGCUGCAAUAGUGCAUAAACAGGAAUCGUAGAAUGCAAAAGGAACUUGCUUGCGACGGAGAUGCAAGCUUAGAAUCAAGCACCGACAAGGUACGUACAUAAACACGAAUCACAGA
rnacentral:misc_RNA from 1 species